CCUAGGGGUGCUGCAGUGGGGAAUAUUGCACAAUGGGCGCAAGCCUGAUGCAGCCAUGCCGCGUGUAUGAAGAAGGCCUUCGGGUUGUAAAGUACUUUCAGCGGGGAGGAAGGGAGUAAAGUUAAUACCUUUGCUCAUUGACGUUACCCGCAGAAGAAGCACCGGCUAACUCCGUGCCAGCAGCCGCGGUAAUACGGAGGGUGCAAGCGUUAAUCGGAAUUACUGGGCGUAAAGCGCACGCAGGCGGUUUGUUAAGUCAGAUGUGAAAUCCCCGGGCUCAACCUGGGAACUGCAUCUGAUACUGGCAAGCUUGAGUCUCGUAGAGGGGGGUAGAAUUCCAGGUGUAGCGGUGAAAUGCGUAGAGAUCUGGAGGAAUACCGGUGGCGAAGGCGGCCCCCUGGACGAAGACUGACGCUCAGGUGCGAAAGCGUGGGGAGCAAACAGGAUUAGAUACCCCUGUAGUC
rnacentral:rRNA from 1 species